CGGAUAACCGUAGUAAUUCUUUGAUUCUCUGGGUGGUGGUGCAUGGCCGUUCUUAGUUGGUGGAGCGAUUUGUCUGGUUAAUUCCGAUAACGAACGAGACCUCAGCCUGCUAACUAGCUAUGCGGAGGCAUCCCUCCGCGGCCAGCUUCUUAGAGGGACUAUGGCCGUUUAGGCCACGGAAGUUUGAGGCAAUAACAGGUCUGUGAUGCCCUUAGAU
rnacentral:rRNA from 15 species